CCCGGGCUCCGUGUCCCUGUGCCGGGGCCUUUCCCGUCCGGCGGCGUCGCCUCCCUCGGGGCCGGCGUGCGGCUGCCCCGGCGGGCAGAGCCCGGCGCUGGGCCCCUCGGGACAGCGCUGGCACCUACUCGCAUCUUCCUGAAAGCCCACAGAGCCAAAGCACAACACGGCACCGCUUUUUCGGAGGGAAGCAGGGCAGCCCAAGCACAAACUCCGUUUCUGCCCAGAGUUUUGAGGUUCUUCAAGAGCGGCAGGUAAGGGCCCAGGGGUGUUUGCCCCGAGGGGCUGUGCCUGCGGCUGGCAUCCCUUGGCCGGGGGGUGCUCGGUGCCGGUACCGCCCAGAGCCGGGGCAGAGCCGGCGCCGCUGCGGCCCCGCCUGCGCUCCGCUGCUCCGCAGCCUCCGCCCAGCCCCGCAUGCUUGCAUCGCCUCCCGUGAAUGUAGCGCUGCGGAUGUCCUGCGGAGGGAAUGCUGGAUUUACAGCAGAGAAUGUGAAGAGAGUUUAUAGAGUGAAAAUAAAUCUUGGAGAAAUGUAUCUGACAAAGUUUAUUUUUGAUGUAGAGAGGCAGUGCUUUGUAGUUUCUGGUGACCUAUGUCUGUUGUAAAUAAUGUAUAUUUAAUUUAUUGCUAUGGUAGCAGAUUGUUAUGUAUAAAAUGAAAGGUUCACAAAUGUAUAUUUUGUUGCUUAAAUGUGUCUUUGCAAAAUUCACAAUAAAUAACAUAUUUUGUGUCCAUGUAUGUGCUCUGUGUGUGGCCAUGUAGCGACAGCUUUAGAGGAGCUGUUUGGGAACUUUCCUUUGAAAACCAGGUGAGGGCAUGGAUUGGGCAGAGCCGUGGCAGUGGGGGCCUGGGGGAGCUCCCGUGAGGUCAAACACCCCAGCGGUGGAAGAAGAGGAAUAUUGAAGCACAGCAACAAAAACGGGGAAAUCUCUGCUGGUGCUCCCAACUCUGGGACUGGAGCAGUGGAGGAGGAGCCAGCCACGCUUCUGCACACUCAGCCAUUCAACCCCGAGAGCUGUCCUGUCUGAACUGAGAUCAGUGCUCCAUAAAGCUCCACAUCAACCGGCUCCUGUCAGCAGCCAGCCCAUGUGGCAACAAUUCUGUGCCAGCCGAGCUCCCCUCAGGGCAUCAGGCCUCUGGGCAGUGCAGGUAAGCUAACAAGGAGAUUGCAUUUUCUCUCUCCAGCUCCUCAGCCUCCUUUCAAAUCCAUUUUAAUUUUUUAUUUUUUUUUUUUUUUAAUUUUAACAGGGGUUAGGGACAAGGCUGCUGUGGGAGAGCCUGAGCAGCUCGGGCUGUGAUCAGCGGGCACACGGCCUGUCUGGUGCCACGGGCAGUUGUUACAUGGGGCAAACCCACUGACAGCUCCUCCCCUUCAGAGCAGGGUCAACCUUGAGAGGUUUAAAAAGUUAAACUUUAAACAGUGUGAGACAAUGUUGACAGAUAAACAAGCAGUUUUGACAUAUGUUUUAAAGAAAUGUUUUCUAGACCGGGCAGAUGGGCAAGUUGGGAAUUAAUGGCCGAGUAUUCCAGCCAGAAUUUGGAAAGCUUCCCACAGAAUCUGAACUCCUCAGUUUGGUGGGAGGGAGACUCAAAUGCUGCAGACAACUGGAACACAAACUCGAAACACGCUGCUCAGCCAGGAUUGCUUCGCUCACUUUUAUCAUUUAAACAAACUGUGAGUGUUGUGGAAACAAGAACCUAAAUCCAGGUUUCAGAGGAGUUUGUGUAGAGUCUUUCAUUCACUCGGUUCCAGCUUUCCACAGCUUUAGAGCAGCUUCUGCCAGCAAUGGCAGAUGUGAUCAGAGCCAAAGCUGGGGACACAGUGGUGCUGCCCAGUGUGGCCCUGCCAGAGGUGCAGAGUCACAGGAGGGUGAGUUCACUGCCUGAGCACCUUCUGUGUCUCCUAGGGAUGCUCACUGGGCUGCAGACUGCCUGUCCUGGUCACAGAGGAGAGUGAUUUGAUCACUCUGUGACAGGAGCAUCUGCCGACGUGAAGACACUGACCCCAAUUAAAAGUGGUUGGAUGUUCUAAGGCUGUUCCAAAUCAUCUUGAGAGCUUAUCAGAUCUGGCAGGGCAGCAUGGGGCAGCUAUUAGGAAAGAUGAUAAGACCUUGUCUGUCUCUUUAAUGAAAGUCUGGAGGUACCAGAUAAUCAUGCUGAAUAGUGCUUCGUGGGAAACCUCCUGAAUGUAUUUAAUCAAGUAAUUUUCUAGGCACUGUCAGCAAGUAGAAGGACGAAUGAAAUCGCAGAAUUGCUUAGGGUUAGGAGGGAAGUUUAAAGAUCACCUACUCGCCCCUGAUAAGGGCAGGGAGAUGCACUGGGAUCAGGUGCUCAGAGCCUUAUCCAGUCUGGCCUUGAACACUUCCAGGGAUGUGGCUCUGCAGAGCUGCUGCUCUGGAUCCGGCUUUGGCAAUGGCUCUGGGCACCAAGCAAGGCACCCAUGGAUAAAAAUCAGGUUUGUUCUUAAUAUUUGAAAUUGAAAUCAGGGACAAGAAAACCCAACAUGUUUUUGUUUCUGUGGUUUUUUUAAUGCUUGCAAACUCUUUAUACAAUAUAAAAAAGCUGCAGUGCUUUGUCUGUGUGGCUGGAUGCAGUGAGGUCCCCAAGGAUGGGGUGUGUGCUCCGUGCCACAGCCAGGACCCUGCAGCCCCACAGCAGUCCCAGGCUGAAAACCUCUGGGAGAGGCUCAGGAUGACAAAGAAAAGAAAAAAUAACUAUUUCUGGUCAUAUACUUUAAUCAUGGUCCCAUGAAUUUAUUUGAUGUGAGGUUUUGAUAUUUAUAGCCAGACUUAUGCUUUACUUUUUUUUGUAAUAGUGGAUGUUUAUUUCUCUCACCCAUUACAUCCCACCCCAGAAACUGCACAAAUUUAUGACAAACACAAAGUGAGGCUGAUGUACUUUCUUUGUAAAAUUAGAAGGUUUUGGCACCUGUGGGUGUCUCUAGCACACAACUCAGUGGGCUGUUGAGCUACUGAAAAUGUAAAUCCUUCAGUGUUUACUUUCAAUAGUCACUGAGUUUUUCCACGUGGGUGGGGGAAGAAUUUUCCAGUUUCAUUCCUCGGAGCUGCUGAACUCAGAGGUUUCCCCUUCUGUACAGGAGGUGGCGCUGGAAAUACAGGAAUGAAGUCUCAUCAUCUGCUUGCCUUUAGCGACAGGCGGGGGUCUGGGUGACAGCUGUCAGAACAGCUGGAACAGAAGCGCUCCCUCUCUCGCGGGCAGCGAGUCCCGCUCUGCCUCUUGCUGAGGGUUAAUUUACCGGGCUCGUCUCAGCCAAGGCGCAGGACCCGAGCCCAGCUCGCCGCCAGCAGGAUGAGAGCUCUCCCAGCCGGUCCCGGCUCUGUCCAGGGUCUGGAGGGGCUCAGCCCCGGAGCCCAGCUCACCGCCCGCAGGAUGAGAGCUCUCCCAGCCGGUCCCGGCUCUGCCCAGGGGCUCAGCCCCGCGCUGUGUCAGCUCCGCCCGGGACCGCGGAGCGGAGACACAAACCGAACCUGCGGAGAUCGGCUCUGCAGGUAACCUGAACAUAAAUAACUGUACCUGUAGCAGCUUAGAGCUUACACGGCUGACUAAAUGGGAAAAACCUUCCUGUCUCUGCAAUGUUGGAGGCGCUGCAGGAGACCUCAAAUUCGCGUCUCACAGUAGCUUCUGCCUAGGGACGGAGCAGCUGCUGCCGGUAGAGGCUCAGCUGCAAACGGCAUGUUUGUGCUCAUGGUGCUGCUCAUGUUUCCUUUACAGCUUUGCCAAAUGCAACAAGUUUAAAGAAUGUUUGUCCCAGUGAGCAGAAAUUAGUUAGGCUUGCUGGAAGUCCUUCCUGUGGUACCGCAAGUCCCAUCUUGGGUGGAGUCAGCCACGACCUUUGCUGCUGGGAUGCAGAGGGAACGUUGCUGAAAGCUGUGAACUUCAACAGUGCCAAACACGGGUCUGGCCAAGGCCCAGAAGCUGGCUGCACAUCUGGCAGUUCUCUUACAGCCAGUGCCAUGGUCUUUAAUUUCCGUGCUGUUUCUGGCUCUAUUUCUUGUGUCCAGUAGGAGAGGAAAGUUUGGAAAGGAAAGCGGAUAGAUCUGUCUCUGUGCAUGCCUGGCACUGAGACCUGCAAGAGAAACUGAGUGGCUCUGUGAAGCUCUGCAAGGUCUCACUCCACCCACUGAUCCAUCUCGCUUGGAUCCCUCCCCACUGUACACCUUCCCCCUUCCAAUUCCCACCAAGCUCUCUCUGGGAGGGGCCCCCACACCUCCUGACUGCUGCAGGAGCUUCUCCCCGUGCCCCCAAGGCCGUCGCCCUCUGUUACCUGGAGUCAGAAGCUGGCUGCAAUUCGGAGUGUAGAAAUGGCCACUUUGGCCACUCUGGUUGUGCCCCCAAUUGUCUGACAGGGACUGUGAUGCUUUGCUUUACUCUGGUGCUUUGUCUGAAUUUUGUGUGCAGAAGCAGGGACUGGGCUGUGUCUGCUGUGCUCUGUUGUCUGUUUGCUUUCCUUGAAGCCUUCCUGGAGGAAUUAUUUGUUAAACAAAUUGAGUGUGUUGGGAAUAACACACAAUGGUUCAUAAUUCUCUGUCAUGUACGACUGAGUCCAGUGGGGAUUUCUGCUACAUCACUAGCACAGUGCUGGGGCUGAAGGAGGAUGUGCUGUGGGAAGACGUGCUGCUGCUGAAGACAUGACCAUAUUCAUUGACAAGCAGAAUUAAUUUGUUGGGUUUUGUUUGCAUGGAUUUUACCAGAGUAAAAUCCCACUUAUUUUCCAUUUCAGUGCCAUGAAAAGUGUAUUGAUUUUUCUUCACUUCUGAUUGUUCACAUUACUGGAUUGCUUUUAAAUAGUUGACAGAGAUCAUUCAUUUUCCAGCUCCAACAUAUUUUACAACCUGUUCCCUGUUUUAUUUGUGUGUGCUUUGGGGGAGUUCCACAGCUAUACAUCAUUCUGAUCACUCUCUGUGCACGGCAGCCCCGGCAGGAGGGAGGAAACGUGGGGGUUUUGCUCCUCCUGCCUUCUCCCUAGCAGCUCCUGCACCUGUGUUUCACCUUCCUGACUUAGAAGGUGGAGCUGAGGCUCAAAAACCCUCUAAGCCAAAGAGCAAAACAGGCCAAAGAAAUAACAUGGCCACAGAAAAAUCAGUGGUGUUGUGAGAGGUGCUGGUUAGUGAGAGCACAGCGAGAGCUGCCCCCGGUGUUUGUGCCUGAGGGGUGAUGAGCUCCGCAGGGGAGGGGCAGCACCCUUCCAACCCAGCACACAAAGAAAUGAGGGAGCCUCUGGGCAUUUCUUUGUGCAGAACCCACGGGGCUUUGGAAUGCUGCCCCAGCCCCUGCGUCACCUCUCUACCUUCCCCUGAGCUGUGCCACCUCUCCAGGCUGAGCCCUUUGGGAGCCAGAGCUGCCUGUCCCCGUUUGCUAGCACAGUACCUAAGGCAACGGGGUCCUCGUUUCACAGAGGCCACAGGCAACAGGGAGACUGUGCUAAUAAUGAGAAUUAAUUAUUCAUUUAUCACUUCACUCUCAGUGAGUAAUCUCCAAUAAUCAUGUAUAAUUUGCUGCUUCAGUGAAUACUUUGAUACUAAACAGAGCUGGUAGAAUAAAGUCACAGAAGUGAAAACCCCAUAUAAGAGGAGUGAGAAAAUGGUCAAGACUAAAAAAAAAAAUCUAAGAAAUAUUUGUGCGUAAUCCUUUGCCCAGAUCUAGUAGUGUCCUGGAUAAACAUAUGGAAGGUAGAUAGAGACAGAGAUUGCUCAAUCUCUUCUUUCCCAGCUCUUGUUAGUGAGUCAGAGACCAUGGUAUGACCCCAAACAGAAGCCUACAUUCUGUGUCCAGAAGAUGGUCCAGAAUCAUUUUGCCUUCCUAAACCUCCUUCUGGGGUGAAGGAAGUGCAGUAAGGGAAAGCUACUUGGCACUGAAGCAAUUCAGUGGGGAAUUAAGUAUUCAUAAGAACUAAAUGAUUUGGGCAUGCAGAAUGCAGGUCAAAGCCAAGCCUGCCCUGGGAAGUCAGGGAAAGCUGCCUCCCGUGCUGCUCAGGGUGUUUGCACGGUUUGUGACAGUUCAAUGGCAUUGAUUUUCCCAUUUGCCCUUGCCUUUUCCCUUCCCUUGACCCACAGGGCUGUGCUCAUCCACACCAGGUGCAUUUACUGCAAAGCUGUUUGUGACAAAGGCAGAUUCCAGCAGCCAGGAGCUGCGUCUGGCCGUGGUGUUGUUAUGGGAAACUGCUGAAACAUGGUCUGCUCCCACAUGGAAAUCUCUUUCAGAAGCAGAUUGCACUGUUGUAUUUUAGACUGUGGUGCCUGCUCACAUUAUCCCUCGCUGACGUGCAGUGAUGAUGCAUAUGCUGGAUCUCACAAUGCUGAGAGAAUUAACGCUUUGGAAGUGUUUACCUCCCCCAUUAUUGAUGUUCUGUCAGUAGCAGUGUGCUCAUAUUCUCUGCAGAGAAACUAAAGGCACUGAUAAAAAUCACUGAGCUUCUCUUCUCAUCUAAAUCUCCAGGUAAGAAAUGGCAUUUCUGUAUGUGAGCAGCACUGUUUGGUGACACAAACCCUUACCUGUUUCCCCUUUGAGUUACAGGAUAUUUGUUCAGUCUUUCUUUCUUUUUUUUUUUUUUUUUGGACAACUUUCCGAAGCAUCACUUGGCAGAUUUUAUUUACCUGUGCUUUCCUCUCUUAUAUCUAUUUUCACAGGAGUAUUAAAGCAUUUGACUUCCCUUUAUACAUUCAUAAGUGUGUGACUAAAGUCCUGUUGGUGGGAUGAACAGCUAGAGCUCUCCUGUGCACUGAAAAAUGGGCAUUUUCAGAGGGAAAACUGAGUCUAACAUCCCAAAGCUAUAAGGAAUUCAGAUAGCUCAUGUUUUGGACACCUGGUUUGAACAUAAAAAACCCAGGAAGGGAUUUACUAAUUUUCUCAUUAAGCCACCUGAACCAAAUCCCACGUCUGUGCGAGAUGCUCUCGGUGAAGGACACGGGUGCUUGCCAGUGCUGAUCGCAGCAGUGCAGGCUUGGGAGGGCCAGGCUGGCAGCAGGGCAGCCACCCGAGCUGGCACAGGAGCUUUGGGAGCAGAGCAUCCCCACCUGGGAACUCACCUUCCUCUCCAAGGCCACCAGCCUGGCCCCACAGGCGGGUCAGGGCAGGAGCUGCAGCUUGGGAACCCUCCUCUCCCUUGUGCUGGCACCAGCAGCGCUCUGGGACUCACAGCACCGCAUCCAAACUUCUACAGUCCUGGAGCAUCCCCAGCCUGCAGCCCCAGUGCUGCUCACCGCUGAGUAAAUGCUAAUCUUCCAUCUUACAGGCAUGUCCUGAGACUUAAUUAAUGCUUCUGAAGUAUUUUAAAGCCCUCAGAUGGCAAGCAGGCUAAAAUAUUGCCAGUCCCUGAGGAACCUUCCCCUUCGGGAGGACUCCGGGUGUUUUAUUUAAUGAGCAGCAGUGUCUGAGGACUGUCUUGACUGAUUAUUUCUGAGGAAAAGCAGUAACACGUUCACACAAUGCUGCUGAAUUUUAAAUGAACUCCAGUUUAUUGUGGAAAUACAGCACUGGAGCAAGUACUCCCUUUUGCACUGCUGCAGCCAGCCUGGUCAGAGACUCUUCCUCCAGGAACUGCUCCACGGGGGCAGAAAGGCACCCAUGGAAACCAUUGCACUAUGAACAAGUCGGGGAGGUCCUACCUCUUCUCCCUCAGGGAAAAAUGUGUGGAGCCAGAUGAUUCAUGUUUUCUGCAGGAAUGUGUCUUCUCACCUUUUCUGUGUCUCUAAGUUAGACAGCAUCGGCUGCACUGGGCAGCAUCUCUUCUCACACCCUGGGAGCACUGGGCAGCUCAGCGAUGCUGAUAAACAACUUUACGAUAAUGCAGAUUAUGUAAAUGUACCAGCUUUCCUAUCAUUUCUUCUGCUACCCAUGGGAGCAAGUGUUUUCUGGUGUGUGAGCAGGCUGCAGCAUUCAACCUGCUGCCUUUUUUAAAAAAUGCUUUACAGGAGCAGAACUGUCUUCAGAGGUUCUCUCGCCUGAUACCUGAACUAGUGGCUGUGAACACAACGUGCACCAUGUGAAGCCAAAUAACCCUCCAGGAAUUCUUUCUAUUAAAAUAAUUGCUAGGGCAGGGGAAUACUGCAAACAGCUGUGGUUCGUUCCAUAAACAUAUUCUGCCUCCUUUCGGAGCCUCAGCCUCCAACUGAUGCCAGAGCCUGUCAGCUGCAGGAGCAGUGGAACAUAUUUCCUUUGCAGAAAUGAAACGAUUACUGAUGAAUAAAUCUGUUGUGCACAGAGCUGAACUCCCCAGUGUGUGCUGCAUAUGCAAAAGGGAAAAGUGACAGUGUUUCACCCUGGAACGAGCUGGAGCGACAGUUCAUCUGCUGAACACACUGGCUGUGGAGCUGCUGUGUGUCAGCAGCCCAGCAACACUAGCGUGAGGGAAAAUCCCCCAAAAUCAGUCCAGCACUCAAUGGCAUCACCUUGCCACGUAGUGCCCUUGCUCUGGCAGGGAAGCAGCUGUGCCAAGCCAUGGGAUGUGCUGAGAGGAGGAUCCCUGCCAGCCCAGCCUCCUCCUUUUGUCAGUCUGAGUGACUGGCGGCAAAGGGCUGAGCUGGGGAGGACAGGAGGGUGGGGGCUCUGGGAACAGAGGGUCUUGAGGUCCCUGGGCUGGGGCAGUGGGUGCUUCCAGGCUGUUGUUUGCUGCUGCAGCAACCCAGGCAAGAGAUGAGUCCCUGGCUCCAGUGAUCCCCGAGGUGAUGCCUGGAGUGAGAUGGUCCAGAGAAAACCCCGCUCUGCAGCUGAGGGGACAUGAAGGAAAAACCUCAGAGGUCACUGAGACCUGUAUGUGCCCCAGCUCAGUAUUGUCUGACAAAGCCAAACCCUCUGACAGGCCCGUUUAUUUCUGUCAAUCUCGUCUGCGUGGAGGAGGUGAGCAGUGGACACGGCCACUGAGGACCCUGAUGUGCCUGUGAGCUGUCCCCAGCCCCUGUGUCACAGCAGCGUUUCUGCCACCUGGCCUGCAGGAAGGGGGGCUCUGCAGGGAGUGGAGCAGUGCUCGCCCAGCCCCACCACUGCCUGUCAGGUCGCUCAAACAGCCUGCACUGCAUUUGCAAAAUGUUGUUAAUCAAGAGACACAGUUCAAGGCAUUUGACUGGCAUUUCCAGUUAAGGGGUGGCAAACACGCUGUAAAACCACCGUGCUGAGGCCACCUUCCUAAUGAAUGCAAAGUGGGAGCAAUCAAUCAGGGCCGGCAGCCAGUGCUGGCACCGCCUCUGCAAAUGCAAAUUGAACGAACAAUAAUGAGUGUUAUCUAAUUAGUGCACACAGCUGCAAUGUUACAGCCCUGUAUAGGACACACCUUGUUAAAUUUCAUGGUAUGUAUCCCAGAGUGUCUGAGAAAAUGAUGGAGGUUUGCCACGUGCACACCUUGUAGAGCACACACAGGUAGAAUCUUGGUGAUAAAUGCAUUUUUCUCAGCAGGUGAGCUCUGGAUUGAGUAUUGCCAGGAUGGUCAACAGACUGGGAAUGGACCUUGCUGUCAAAGGGCCAGCCCUCAGUGAACCUCCCCCUACAGCUGCAGCUCCAGCACCUGCUCUUGGCACCAAGAGGAAGAACACCUGGGGCCAAAUUUUUCCGUGAGACUCUUUUAUUCAAAUCCAGGUCAGAAAUGUGGUGAAAGAAAUAUUUCAGGCAAUUCUUUCGCCUUUGUUGCUUUAAUGUUCAGCAAUGUCUGUUCUUCCUGUAAGAUCCCUAGUGACACUGCAGGGGAUGGUGGGAUGGUGUUUAAAUAUUGAUGUUUUAGCAGCUUAUGGCUUUAAUACAAUUUAAAUUAUGCACAUUUUUAUUGGACUCAUAGGUUCAUCAGCAAUUAGUCUCUCCCAGCUGCACAGGAGGGUGUUCAGCAGCUCUGUAUUGAUUUCUGCCUCAACUCUGAAUUUUAGUGACUGGCUACAUCUUAGAGCCUUGGCAAGGUAAACAAAUCCGCAGGCCCUUAUUCGAGAGCUGCUGGUUAGCAGCCAUAAAUGUGUAAUCAACAACUCAGUAUCCUUGGAAUUAGAUCUUCUUAACAAUCAUUAGUUUCAUCCCUUGCCGCUCUAAUAAACCUCUUGGUAGCAGGCCAGAGCCAAUUAUACAUGUGCUUGGAAAAUUAUAAAAGAAGGAGAAAAAGUCUGUGUUGCACAAAUAAGUGAAAAUUUUGAGUGGCCCAAGCCUGCGGCGCAUGUGGGACUCAUCUGUUGUUUAUCAGAGGUUGAGCACUGAGUUUUGGAGACAUUAGGGAAACUCUGUAUUUAUUUUGCACGUUAUGGUUCUUCCACCUGAUGCCAAGCCGGCAGCAGUGCACAAGUCCUGCAGCCCCUUUCACAUUUCUUCUGCGGGCUCUGUGGACCAGAGCCAGGGUUGUGAGAGCUGCAGUGAACUGACUUUGAUUCAAAGGUGUUUUGUGGCCGGGUCCCUGCACUGCAAUGCUCGGGAGGAGGAUGCCUGUCAUGAUACAGUGACCAAAUUACUUAUUUAUCUUCUGAGUGUGACAGGGAACUGCUCAGCCUGGGGGUCCAGAGGCUGGUUUUCAAUUUCUCCCUCACUUCUGCAGCCCUGGGAAGCUCAUGGAACAUCCCUGGGACCAGCUCUCUGCUCCCACACACCCCUGUCUUUUGGGAUAAGGCUUGGGAAGAGCCUGGAGCCCUGGAGUGCUCACUCUGUUCCUGCUUUGUUCUCAGCACAGUGGAAUAUAGCAGACAAACACCCCUGAAUCGCUAAGGUUUUGUUUACGUUUGGUUUCUGUUCAUUCAGUGUGACUUUUGGAAGGUGCAGUGAGAAAAGAACAUGCACCUGCACCACGUACAGUGGUAGUGUGGGCUCUUGCUAAAGAAAAUCAUUAAUAACAGAUCCACCCAUCCUUCUCCAGGUGGUUCUUACGCCAUCCUGCACGAGACAUGCUUUUCUGAGAGAGGUGAUAAGUUUCUAGGAUGUGCCAUCAGCUUUACAGUCAAGCUGCUGGCAUUAGGAGAGAAGAAUGGGAAUGCAAACCAUAAAAAUAACAGAUGGGAGGCAGAUGUGAUAAAAUGGAAGCACAGGCAAAUUAUAAAACCAUUCAAACUGCUCAUGCAGAUAAAAUCAGGAAACAAAAUCACAUCUGAAAUCACAAGGACUGGGUGUCUGUUUGAGAAAAAAGUGUUUGACUUUGCUGUUUGUUUGUGGUACUGGUGGUGGAGGUGUUCAAAGUCCUGGAGGAGAAGCAGGGAUUUCUGCUGCAGGGAAGCUCAUGCUGUGGCACCUUCAUUUGUUGCUGAGGAGCAUUUUUGCUGUGGAGGUUUAAAGAUGGUGUUUUUCUCAAUUCACACGGCAAAUAUUAAUGUUCAUAUGUGCCAGUGCAAUUACUUGACUGCAGUGAUGAAACAUCAUCCAAAUAAUUGAAGAAACACGAAGGGAAAAAUACCCCUCAAAGACCUAAGGGGCAGAUGAACAUGAAAUGGAGACCCAAAACAACGCUGGGAUCUUCUGGAGCUCUGCUGGGUGUGCCACAGGAUCCUGCAGGGGCAGGGCUGAGUGACAAGGCUCAGGGACUGAGGCAGCAGGGACGAGCAGGGCACCACGGAGGCCCCAGGGAGAUGAUUUUACACGACCCAAACAAAAGACCUGUUACACUGGAGCAUCUAAAAUCACCCAGCCAGCACCCUGUCUCCAGCAGAAACUGGACAGAUCUGAGCCCACAAAUCAGGCUCUCAGUUUCUAGUAAUUAGCAGAUUACAGACUUCCUGAGCCACGAGUUGUGUUGGGAACAAGGGGCUUAACAGCCACAGAUAGGUUUCUCCUCUGAAUUAAUUGAAUCUCUUUUGAACCCAUUUAUCCUUCUGGCUGUCACACAUCUCACCAUUUAAUUACACAGUGCCUGGGGACUUCAGGGGCACCCCUUCCCAUUGCAGCAAGCAUAAGGAACAGACAUCCACUGUCACCCUCCUCACACCACUCACACAAAUCUCACUGCAGGCUUCCACAACAUCUUGCUUAUUAAAGCCUUGUUUUCUGAGCACAGGACUGGGAGUCUGGCUUCCUUUUCUUAAUGAGAUUUUUUUAAAAAUUUUAAUUUUAUACGCCCAAGAAGAGGAUGAUUUCUGAGUAUGUUCUGAAACCUCUGUUUAGAAGGUAAACAAAGACCCUCUUUGUUCUCAAAGACUGGAUUUAUUACUCUAAAUUUACUAACUCUUCCUGAUACAGGGCUUCCUUGAGGAUCACAGUGUUUGGAAUAUGCUCUGAAACACAUGGACCACGGCAGUGAAGUGGCUGCUAUAGCCAGGCAGUGUGUCUCACUCUGCACUGGAGUAGAAAUGCAGAUUCAAACACAAAUGGGGGAAAAUAUGAUAACGGGGGGGGGGGGGGGAAGGAAGGAGGAAGGUUAGAGGACUGAACCCUUCAAAAUGCUCAUGACCUCUUAUUGACUUUAUGCAAUGAUAUUCUUAUUUAUACCAGCAUCAGGUCAGAAUUAGGCUUUUUCUUUUUUCCUGUAUUUAUGAUGAUGCUGGCAAUUGAUGAGUCUUUGUCCUGCAGAGCAAACGAGUGAUUGAAGUUUUCAGUGACCUUAUGUCUAAGGAGUUCUGCUUUACCCUCUGGGAAGUCUAAGCAAGAGAAGCCAUCGGCCUCUUUGCAGCACCAGGGCAUUGAAUUUGUUGGUUGGUUGGUAUGGGGCUUUUUUUGGCUGGAAUUACAAGGCUAAUAUUUAGCCUUUUAUCCAAAAUCCAUAGUUUUCUGUGGUUCUUAAAGUAUUUCAGUGUAUUUUACAUUUAAAUAGAAAUGAGGCCUCCUUGAAACAGAUUCAUUCUGGUUGGCUUUGCACAUUGAUGAUUAAAGAACAUGGUUCAAUUUUUUUUUUGUCUCAUUCUGAGCAAUGUCUCAUUAGAUUUUCAUUUUAUUUCUUUCCAUAUCCAUCAUUAUUUGUGUCAGCAGAGUGGUUACAUAGAUGGACAGCUUAUUAUCAGUUUUAAGUGAGGAAACAGAACACAAGAAUGGUUACUAAAAAAAGGGAAAGGUAAUUAACACUGGGUGCCAGAAUGUAAACGAAGCUUGACAUUUCCAUUUUGCUAAUCCAAAUUAACCCUCGUCUUAUGUUACAGAGUGCAGGAGGGGAUUCUGGCCUCUGCUUCUGUUUCUGCAUCCCCUCGUGCUGCAUGUCCUGGCGUGGCACAGCAGGGCCCGGCAGUGCCCGGCGAGGCUCCAGCUGCAGCUGCGGCGGCACCUGAGGAUCCUGGAGGUGCUGCAGGGCUCGCACCCAGCCAGGGCUGCUGAGCCCGGGCAGUGGUCACACACAGGGCGACCUGCUGGCCACCGCAGAACUCACAGCUGUCUUCCAGUGCACGCUGCUGUCCCCUCCUCCAUUCUCUCCUCCAAAUGUGGAGUGGCUGCCAGCUGCAGUUUAGGAAAAGCUGAAUGCUUGCCAGUGACAAGUGCAGGCUCUGGACUCUUGCAAAAGGGAGAAGGAAUUAAAUUAUGUUAGUUGGUGAUGAAAAGACAUAAGAAAUGCAGAAAGAGGACAAAGGAAAAAGGUAACCAUGGAGGUGAAAGAAAAAGGUACGAGAGUUUCCUUACACACUGUAUUAAUUAAGGCAAUGCAGUGAUUUUCAGGGCGACUCUAAGCUCACUGAAAGCCUGACCAAAGAGGUCAGGCAAGGUCCAUGCCCUGGGGGCCUUCGACAAAAUGCAGGGUGGUGGUGGUGGUGUGUACCAGUGCCCUGCUCUUGGAUGAACCCUCAGCUUUCCAUUGGAAAAGCUAUAAGCCUUUUGUUCUGUUGGGUUUUUGUUUGGCUGUUAUUAUUUUCCUAUGGUUGGAAAUACACCCAAAGAGGGUGUAAAGCCUGCUGCAAAGGCAGCCUUUAUUUGAUAAAUCAAAUACCCUAAAUGCAAUGUAACAUAAAAGCCUUGGGUGCUGGGUUGGUGCUGAUUUUCCUGUUCUCUGGGUGUGAAUGUGGUUCAGUGGCAAUAAACAGUGUAAGCCCUCCUUACACAAACUGGGAGUGGCACCAGUGUUCCCCCAUGCCCAAGGCAAAGCCCAAGCCCAAGCUCUGUGGUCCCUCUCCUGCAGAGGCUGAUCCCUCCCUGCUUGGGCAUCAUCCCUGUCCUGUUUGUUUUCACUCAUCCAGCCCCUUGAGCAGAAUGAUCCCCUGAGCAGGCAAUGAUUCAAUCACUGAUUUUCUCUCAUUCUCUUGCACAGCUGCUAUUGGAGGUGCAGCUGUCACUACAUCCAUUCAGGGGAAAGAGAUGAUCAAAGGGGAAAAGACAGGAAAACACCAUUUCAGAAAUAAAUGCAAAGUUAUGAUGCCUCUGUUUGCCUGAGAAAGAGAGAUUUUUAUGCAGCUUUUGGCAUUUACAAAUCCUUUGUGAAAAGGUCACCCUGUAGUUGGAAUCUUAUUAAUACAGAAGAACGGCCCAGAAAAUGUCAUGUCUUUUUACCCUGAUAUUUACCCAGGAAGGAGUGACUCAGCACCCAGGGCUCCUCUGGCAGGAUGGCUCCAACGAGCGGGUGUGGCAGGCGGGGACAGUGCCACGCUGGUGGGGACAGUGCCACGCUGCCAGGGACCCCGGGAGCAGAGGGUGAGUGUGUGCACACCUCUGACUGCAGAGGGGCAGCCCAUUAACUGCCCACUGCAUGCAAUGUGCAUGAAUGUAUCCCGAAAAAAAAAAACCAAACCAAAAAACCCCAAAAAAACCAACCCAAAAAACCCCAAAAGUGUAUAACUGUUCUAGAAACAUACACACAUUUGAUAUGGGUAUGGGUAUAAUCACACCCAGCAGGACAGGGGGAUGGAGUUUUGGCAAGUAAAGGCUCAGAGCUCUCAGGGUUCAGGCUGUGAGGGCAGUGUGAGGUGCUGCAAGGGGAAGGCAGAGUGCACAGUGAAAAAGACACGAGAAAUGCUUUUCCUCUGGAAAAUCACCAAGAAAAGGUUUGUCUGUCAUCUGCAGUUUAUAUUUCAAUCUUUAAUCUACUGCUUUUAGUUAUGUUUGUGCUCACUUCCUUCAAGGGAAUUUUCUUUCCGUUUGCCUUAGUGGUGACUCAUUUUACCUUUAAUAUGUUUUGGCAGAACUGAGGUAUUUAUUUUAGCAGAGCAGUGAAAACAGUUCUGAGCGUGGUAGCGAUCGCUGCGACUCCUGCCGUGUCACCACGUGGGUACUGCCCUGGCUCGGGCUGACCCCACGAGCUCCGAGCACACAAUCAAUCACCAUCACCCCUCACACUGCACACAAUUUCUUCAUUUUUAAUAACUGGCACACUGAAACAUUUUGCCAGUCCUGACAUGUCGCAGACUCGCGCUGAAUGGAGCUGUCUCGUUCAGCAUUUUCUAACCCAUUGCAAUGUUUUCAUUUCACUUUUCUCUUCACCGGACCUGCAAGAGCUCAAGGUGGUGUUUAGAACAGAGAACAACUGUGAUACACCAUCUCUCGCUGGGGAAGUUCUCGAUAUCACUGCUUCUUUCAUUUUUAUUUCCCGUGGGACUGAAGGUUCCCGCUGCCCUGUCCUGUGACCCAAACACUGCUUUCCUCUCAGGACACAGAUCUAGCAUGAACGCUCAUGAAAGGACACACAUUGUGUCUUGGUUAUUCAUGCAUCACUGCUCACUCACAAGCUGACUAAAUUCUGCAGUCGUGGGCAGAAGGUCUCUGGCACUCACCUCCACAGCCAGCACCAUGCCAGUGAAAGAUUUUACAGGAAUGAAAUUGCAUUCCAAGAUUAAAUACUCUGGGUUUUUAGAACCACUUCAGUUCUUUAACAGCAUUUCCCUUCCACUGCAGCUAUACAGCCUGAGUACCACAUUACUCCUCCUUUCCCCCCAGCCUACCUCAGGUGUAU